CACUCCAUAGCCAUCCUUCAUUGUCUUGCUGGCAAUAUUGGAAUAUUUCUUCCUCAUCAGUUUGUGAGGUAAUAAUGGCAAGCUUCAUCAUUGGUAGACCCUUGGAUGUGUGAUGUGUCAUCCUUCUAGACUUCUGUAGCUCGCUUUCUCUGUCACCCUCUGUGAGUUCCUCUGUCCAUGGAUGCUUCUGCACAUCACCUUACUUGGCUUCACAAUAAGUUGUGAAGUGUUACACUUCCCCCUGACAAAGUUUCUGAGAUCCAGUUUCCCCAGCACUGCUUGUUGAAGAGACUGUCCUUGCUCCAGGGACUGAUUUUGGCUCAUUUGUCAAAGAGAGAUUUUCACGAAGUUCAUGUAAAAAUGAAGAGGAAGAAGAAGAAGAAGGAGAAGGAGGAGAAAGAGAAGAAGAAGAAGAAGAAGAAAGAGAGAGAGAGAGAGAGAGAGAGAUCGUCCGUCCAUCACUGGUUUAGUCCUCAAAUGCCCCUAACAGUCAGUGUUGGGUCAAGCUUAAGCCAGGAACCAGAAACUCAAGCUGGGUCCUCCACAUGAGUGGGAGGCAGGGAUCCACCACCUGAGCCAUCACCCUCUGCCUUCCAGGGUACACAUUGGUAGGAAUGUGGAAUCAGGACUCAAACCCAAGCAUCCAAUAAGAGAUGUGGCUCUCCUAAAUGGCAUCUUAUCUGCUGUGCCAGAUGCCUUCCCUCCUCAAUGUGUUUAUUUGUUAGUAUAUACUUCACUGAUUAAUUCAUAUGCAAUUAUAUGAAAAUAAUUAUUUUUUCCAUAUCAUAUUUUAGUUUAUUUAUACUAAAGGUAUCAAUAAUGGUAAAUAACAAUAAUCUCCAGAUAUACCUUUUUACAGUAUCAUAAAAUAUUUAACAUUAUUUCUUACCCCAAGGACACACAUGCUCUUAUGCAAUAUUCCUGACCAAGUAAGUGAUCCUGAUAAACGCAUUUUUAAAUAUUUUCAGAUUUUUUGGAUACAGAGUAAGGCAGAUAUAAAUGAUAGAGAGUGAGAUGGAUAGACCUGAGUGGGCACUCCUGUCUGCCGGUUCACUCUUCAAAUGCAUGUAAAAGAUGGUGAUGGCUGAAGCCAAAAACUGGAAUCACAAUAGAAAUCUUCCUCCCAAGGUCCAUAUUAAAAGGAAGUUGGAAUCAGGGAGCAGAGUUACUAGUCAUAGGCCUCCUAACCAACAUGUUAAGCCCUACACUAAAUGUUUGCAUUCCUGGUAAAUGCCAUCAAAAGUUCUCACAUAGGAAAUAGCUGAUUUGGAAUAUAAAGUUUAAUAGGGUUGAAUGAGACUACAAAUCUAUUUUCUUUGACCUCUUUGGAAUCGCAAAACAUAUCUUUUUUUAUAAAUGGCUACUGAAAAAAAAUCACUACUGAAAUUCAUGGUAUUUGUAAGUUCCUGGUGUUACAUAGCAUAGUGGGGAGAAAAAAUAAAAUCCAUGCUAAAAUAAUAAAACAAUUCUACUAAGAGACUAUGUCUGUUCAGUGAUAAGUACUUAAAAUGAGUAAAAUAAUAAAUGUGCCAACCAAAAGCAUACAUGCAUUUUGUAAAUAAGGUCCCAAGGCCUUAAGCAGUUGUACAAGGCAUUGUGAUACACAUGCCUGAUUAAUGCCAGCAAUAUAAUCUGCUACAGUGUGAAACAAGUCAUUGCCUAAGGACCCUCAUCUAUGCAUUUCAUGCUGGAAUAUCUUUUAAAUUCCUAAAGGUGAAUUCAUAUUAGUCUCUGAUGAUUGUUUUUUUUUUAACUUUUAGACAUGACUAAUGUAUUAAAAAUAUACUUAGGAAAGUUGCUUGACCAACAAAGUUUCCCAGUGAACACAUUAGUUUUCAAGAUUUUAGUUGAAUAUUAACAAUUACAAGUAGAUCUCAAAAUUCUGUAUUCCACAAGAUUCUGCUUAGCCUGUCAAAUUGUUCUUGGUUCAACCCACAUUUCUCAAUGUCUCAAAAAAAAAAAAAAAAGAUUAAAGCUAUCACCUUUCAUUCUCUUCUUUAUGUUAUCAGACUAAUAUCCGUUUUCUAGUCUUAUAACAUGCCAUUUGUAUUUUAAUAUUAUUGGUAGUUAAAUUUA